rnacentral:lncRNA from 1 species
GAUGUUGUAUCCAGACCUCACCCAACCACACUUCUGUUCAUUCUCUUGCAAAAACUCUAUAUAUUCAACAGCCUGCAAUAGAAAAUGGUGUCAAGAAAACCAGCUUAAUUAAAUGGGUUGCAGCAUAUAAUCAAUAACCUUCUAGGUUUGUGCCUUGUUUGUUUUAUGAUACCCGGAACCAAGUUAUUUAUGUGCAUCUCUAGUUAGAACCCAACCGAAAUUAAUACAAUAUCUGAGGUGAAAAAAA